rnacentral:rRNA from 1 species
CGUUUGACCUCGGAUCAGGUAGGGAUACCCGCUGAACUUAAGCAUAUCAAUAAGCGGAGGAAAAGAAACCAACAGGGAUUGCCCUAGUAACGGCGAGUGAAGCGGCAACAGCUCAAAUUUGAAAUCUGGCUCUUUUAGAGUCCGAGUUGUAAUUUGCAGAGGGCGCUUUGGCUUUGGCAGCGGUCCAAGUUCCUUGGAACAGGACGUCACAGAGGGUGAGAAUCCCGUACGUGGUCGCUAGCUAUUGCCGUGUAAAGCCCCUUCGACGAGUCGAGUUGUUUGGGAAUGCAGCUCUAAAUGGGAGGUAAAUUUCUUCUAAAGCUAAAUAUUGGCCAGAGACCGAUAGCGCACAAGUAGAGUGAUCGAAAGAUGAAAAGCACUUUGGAAAGAGAGUCAAACAGCACGUGAAAUUGUUGAGAGGGAAGCGCUUGCAGCCAGACUUGCUUGCAGUUGCUCAUCCGGGCUUUUGCCCGGUGCACUCUUCUGCAGGCAGGCCAGCAUCAGUUUGGGCGGUGGGAUAAAGGUCUCUGACACGUUCCUUCCUUCGGGUUGGCCAUAUAGGGGAGACGUCAUACCACCAGCCUGGACUGAGGUCCGCGCAUCUGCUAGGAUGCUGGCGUAAUGGCUGUAAGCGGCCCGUCUUGAAACACGGACCAAGGAGUCUAACAUCUAUGCGAGUGUUUGGGUGUCAAGCCCGAGCGCGUAAUGAAAGUGAACGGAGGUGGGAACCCGCAAGGGUGCACCAUCGACCGAUCCUGAAGUUUACGGAAGGAUUUGAGUAAGAGCAUGGCUGUUGGGACCCGAAAGAUGGUGAACUAUGCUUGAAUAGGGUGAAGCCAGAGGAAACUCUGGUGGAGGCUCGCAGCGGUUCUGACGUGCAAAUCGAUCGUCAAAUUUGGGCAUAGGGGCGAAAGACUAAUCGAACUAUCUAGUAGCUGGUUCCUGCCGAAGUUUCCCUCAGGAUAGCAGUAACGUAUUCAGUUUUUAUGAGGUAAGCGAAUGAUU